rnacentral:rRNA from 1 species
UACGUAGGGGGCAAGCGUUGUCCGGAUUUACUGGGCGUAAAGAGCGCGUAGGCGGAAGCUUAAGUGUGGCCUGAAAGCCCCCGGCUCAACCGGGGAAGGUGGCUGCAAACUGGGCUUCUUGAGGGGGAUAGGGGAAAGUGGAAUUCCGGGUGUAGCGGUGAAAUGCGUAGAUAUCCGGAGGAACACCGGUGGCGAAGGCGGCUUCCUGGACCGACACUGACGCUGAGGCGCGAAAGCUAGGGGAGCAAACGGG